UAAGGCAAACACAUAACAGUAAUCAUUUUCGCUAAUUCUUUACGAUCCUUAAUUGGAUCGUAAUAUAAAAUACCUCCGGUGACUGUGUUUAUUCCUGGUUGAACUAGAUUUGAACCAGUACUUGGGUUAACUGUAGAAUCACCACUUGUCCUCCCCUCUUGUUGCGCUUUCAAUUGCAAAUAUCUAGCCUUAUCGCUAGGGUGUAAUCUUAU
rnacentral:lncRNA from 1 species